CCUGAGCUGUGGGUGGCUCGAGAGCACUACCUUGGGAAUGCAGCGUCCAGAGGCUCCCGGUUCUCCUAGUUGUUUCUCGAGACUCCCAGAACACUGACACUCACAAGAACAGCGUCUGGCUGGAUCCUCUUAACAGUUCUGCAACGAUUCGGAACCAAUUCAGCACCAUUUUAAAAGAGCCACUGAAAAGUCUGGAGAGGCUUAAAUAUGAUUUCCCACGGAUUCCUACUUCCAUGUCAAAUAAUGUCCGGAAACGUUGCCACCAAAUAAGUAUGAGGAUAUUAUUUUGGAGAAACAAUUAACCCCUGCCAAAAUAUAAGGCGCGAGGAGAAAAGGUGAGACUGGAAGACAAGGAAACCCUUUGCAUUCGCUGGUGGAGGAAAGUGCAAUUUGGGGACGGGCUGGAGGGGUUCUAGUACACAUACUUCAGCACCGGAGGGCAUGGACAGCAUCUGCAGACGAGGCUGCAGCCACGGGAACAGAACUGCGCUGCCGCUUCCACUGCUGCUGUCCUUGGCUGCCACUGUCGUCGCCACGGGCAGCUGGGUUCCCUGCUCCUCACAGCUAAAAGGCGGUGCCUCCUAAUAUCCCGUCGUCUCUCCUCCCUUUCCUUGAUAAACGAAAAGUAAGUCUCCUUAUUCACCUGCUAUAACUGCUAUACAGGGCUGUGAGGAGUACUCUUGUUCCACAGAUUAAACCCUCAGCCGCAACUUCAAGAAUAAUUUUCUAUAGGGGACUCAGAGAAAUGCAAGCAGAAGGGUUCAAAAUUCCUAAAGGCUCUGAGAAAUCAUGGAUUGUAAAGUAGGGAUCGAAAUGCUUAAAGGCCCACUCGAAAUGCUUAACGGCCCACUCAUUUUGAAAUAAACAAAAUAUUCAAGGGAGAAUUGCAACCGUUUGGGGAAUAACUUUGUGAGAGGAGGUUCCAGAACUACUCAAAACCCCACGUUAGAGAAACUGAAAGACUUCUAAUUAUUUUACUUGGCAGGCGUGAGAAGAUCGAAUCUAUGCAUCCAAGAAGAGUCUUCCUGCGGUCCUCAUCUAGAGCCACAAUGUUUCCAGAAGACACAAGAUAUAAUUGACUAUUCGCCAGAAUGUUGAGAUUGCCAGAGAAGUGAAUUCUGAGAAAAAGAGAAUAUUGCUCUACCUAAACCCAAGU